rnacentral:rRNA from 1 species
GAUGAACGCUGGCGGCGUGCCUAAUACAUGCAAGUCGAGCGAACAGACGCGGUACUUUCUCUUCUGACGUUAUCGGUGAACGGUUGGUUCAUAUGUCGAUACCCUACCUAUCAGACUGGGAUAACUUCUGGUACCCGGUGCUAAUACCGGCUAAUAUAUUUAACCACAUGUUUCAGUAGUGCAUGCCUGUUUUGCUGUCACUUAUAGAUUGAUCCGCGCCGAAUUAGCUAGUUGGUAAGGUAACGGCUUAACAAGGCAACGAUGCGUAGCCGACAUGAGAGGGUGAACGGCCACACGGGAAGUGAGACACGGUCCAGACUACUAAGGGAGGCAGCAGUAGGGAAUCUUACGCAAGGGGCGAAAGCGGGACGGAGCAAAGGCGCGUGAGUGAGGAAGGGCUUCGGAUCGUAAAAGACUGUUAUUAGGGAAGAACAAAUGUGUAAGGAACUAUGCAAGGAUUGACGGUACCGAACCAGAAAGCCACGGCUAACUACGUG